UUACUUCUCACUUCAGUAGCACUUAUACCAAAAUUGGACCAAUAUAGAGAAAUUAGUGUAGACUCUGAGCAAGGAUGACACUCAAAUUCAUGAAGCACUCCACAUUUUC
rfam:Ictidomys tridecemlineatus contig098116, whole genome shotgun sequence.